AAGCACACCUCCACAAUCAUCCUGUGACAAAUUAUUCCAUCAAUAUUUGGAGCUGCCUUCCCACCAGCCUGGCUCCCUGGGACAAGAGGAUGAACUCCACACACCAGACAACAGACCAGUCCAAAACCAGGGUACUGCCUCACAUUUCCAGACAAUCUGCUGUCUUCCAGCUGUGCUUGCUCAAUUCUGCCUCAUUCUGGGAGCCCUGGUGUCACCACAGUGAAUAGGAUGGGUUCAGUGGAGAUGAGACUGCGCCAAGCCAGCUUCGCCCACAGCAUACCAAUGAGUGCCCUGGGAAGGCAUUAAUAAUGCAGAGCACACUAGGGUAGCCAGCCCGGCGAGGCCCUGUACGCACAUCAACGGAGGCAGCCGGGACUCACACGACUGAAUGUGUCUGCACAGGCUGACUGUCUGCGAGGCUGCCUGGUCUCCUAAUCGCCAGUCUCCUUUCCCGUCACCCUCAAGGGC
ensembl:lncRNA